rnacentral:rRNA from 1 species
UACGUAGGGGGCAAGCGUUGUCCGGAAUCAUUGGGCGUAAAGAGCGUGUAGGCGGCCCGAUAAGUCCGCUGUGAAAGUCCAGGGCUCAACCCUGGGAUGCCGGUGGAUACUGUCGGGCUCGAGUCCGGAAGAGGAGUGUGGAAUUCCUGGUGUAGCGGUGAAAUGCGCAGAUAUCUGGAGGAAUACCGGUGGCGAAGGCGGCAUCCUGGACCGGCAUUGACGCUGAGGAGCGAAAGCCAGGGGAGCAAACGGG